rnacentral:rRNA from 1 species
UACGGGGGGGGCAAGCGUUGUUCGGAAUUACUGGGCGUAAAGGGCUCGUAGGCGGCCAACUAAGUCAGACGUGAAAUCCCUCGGCUUAACCGGGGAACUGCAUCUGAUACUGGAUGGCUUGAGUUCGGGAGAGGGAUGCGGAAUUCCAGGUGUAGCGGUGAAAUGCGCAGAUAUCAGGAGGAACACCGAUGGCGAAGGCAGGUCUCUGGGCCAUAACUGACGCUGAGAAGCGAAAGCAUGGGGAGCGAACAGG